UCUGGAAUGCGUGUGAGGAGUCAUGGAAUGGUGGGCUCCACUUUCUCACUAGUCGGAGGACACAUCAGAGCCCACUGAACCCCCACUUCACAGUGGGCAUUCGCCAGGCUGGAGGGAGGCCCUGGGUCUCCUGGGGAUGAUGAAGCUGAGAAGCCUGGAGGGCCCACCACCUAGGCACCAUUACCCUGUUGCACCUGAGGGGAGGAGAAUGCAGGGAGUCUCCAGGACUACAGUCCCCCACCCAGUCUCCUGCCCUCCAGCACAACCUCUGAACUCCGGGUGCCCAGCCUGGGAGGGAAGAAGACUGGAAAUGCCAGGGACAGAGCACACGAAGCCCACAGCGCCAUCCA
rnacentral:lncRNA from 1 species